CCUACGGGGGGCAGCAGUGGGGAAUAUUGGGCAAUGGGCGAAAGCCUGACCCAGCGACGCCGCGUGGGUGAUGAAGGCCUUCGGGUUGUAAAGCCCUGUCAUGCGGAAAGAACGACCCUGAGACGCAUACUCUCAGGGAGUGACGGUACCGCAGGAGGAAGCACCGGCUAACUCCGUGCCAGCAGCCGCGGUAAUACGGAGGGUGCAAGCGUUGUUCGGAAUUAUUGGGCGUAAAGGGCGCGUAGGCGGUAAUGUAAGUCAGAUGUGAAAUACUCCGGCUCAACCAGAGAACAGCAUCUGAAACUGCAUAACUAGAGUACAGAAGAGGGAAACGGAAUUCCCGGUGUAGAGGUGAAAUUCGUAGAUAUCGGGAGGAACACCAGUGGCGAAGGCGGUUUCCUGGUCUGAUACUGACGCUGAGGCGCGAAAGCGUGGGGAGCAAACAGGAUUAGAUACCCGGGUAGUC
rnacentral:rRNA from 1 species